CCCAAGGUUUAAUAUUCACUCUGCCACCUUCCCUCGCUUUAAGUGGCGUUUGCCCUCAGUCUAAGGACUUUGUUGGCUUGUUUUGUGUCCCUAGCAGAGCUUUCUCAUGAGCCCAAUAAGCGUGGCCCUAUGAGGGCUCCAACUAGCCCAAACCAAAGGGAAGCAAAUAGGUAUUUUUCUCAGGCAACAUAACAAGGUCAUGGAGCCAGGUAAAUACACUGCAAUUUUCCAGGCGAGUUCAAGAAGGCAGCGGGUAGAUGGAACAUAUUGUGAUAGAUGGCCCAGCCCUGGCGGAUUUAAAGGCAAGAUGGUGCAUUGUGAAGAAUAAAAACACGGACACCGGCUCCUAAACGUGCCACUUCUUUUCCCUGCGUCCCCGUGGCUGCCGGCUGCCCCAAGCACGUCAGCAGCGAGCCCCUUUGCCUUGGGAUGGGACCGGCGGCGGUGGGAACAGGAGCUCGCCCCGCUCAGCUCCCUUCGGGGGCUUCUAGGGGUGACUGAAAAGGCUCCCCCUGGGUUUCGCUCCGCUGGACGGGCUCCAGCCACACACACACCUUGCAGGGGCUUCCUUCCCACACAAAGCGGCGGCCCACACUCCGGGAAACAGAGGAUAAAAGGGCUUUCACUUUUCUCGAGGGGCGAAGCGAAGUCAGUGCGCGCUUUUGCUUUGAAUGUGGGGUAGCUAGGAAACAGCAAGCAGCCUGCGAAGACGGAAUUCCCAACGUGUAAAACGGAGCCAUUGAGAGAGUGCAAUAAGGCGUGAGGGGGAACUAAUCUCCCCAUUUACAUGUUUGUGGCAAUUUUAUCUAAAUGAAUUUUAAUGCUAAACGAGGGAUAAUUCCCUAUUUGUAACCCGUUUACUUCUCUUUCCUGUGCCCCCAAAGCCGCCUAAGAUCGUGCGAUGAACAAUAACAAUAAAAAUACUGUCAAGCAUAUUCUUCAUUUGGAAUG